AUUGAACGCUGGCGGCGUGCCUAACACAUGCAAGUCGAGCGGUAACAGGUGUAGCAAUACAUGUUGACGAGCGGCGGACGGGUGAGUAACGCUUGGGAAUCUGCCUGUUAGUGGGGGACAACCCGGGGAAACUCGGGCUAAUACCGCAUACGCACUACGGUGGAAAGCCGGGGACCGCAAGGCCUGGCGCUAACAGAUGAGCCCAAGUCGGAUUAGCUAGUUGGUAGGGUAACGGCCUACCAAGGCGACGAUCCGUAACUGGUCUGAGAGGACGACCAGUCACACCGGAACUGAGACACGGUCCGGACUCCUACGGGAGGCAGCAGUGGGGAAUAUUGGACAAUGGGCGAAAGCCUGAUCCAGCGACGCCGCGUGGGUGAAGAAGGCCUGCGGGUUGUAAAGCCCUUUCGGGUGGGGAAGAAAAGCCUCGAGUUAAUACCUCGGGGUCUUGACGUAACCCAUAGAAGAAGCACCGGCUAACUCUGUGCCAG
rnacentral:rRNA from 1 species